UCAAAAGAAGAAUAUUCUGGGGUAUGUGAAACUUACAAGAAGUUUCAACCUCAAUGUCCAUUAAUAAAGUUUUAUGGCACACAGCCAUGCCCGUUCAUUUAAGUAUUGGCUGCGGCUGCUCUUGCCCCCGGCCGGGGCGGAGCUGAGUAGAGGCAGAGAUGGACUGCAAAGCCUAAAUUAUCUAUUGGCUUGGCCCUUUAAGAGUUUGCUGACCACAUGCAAACAAAAGGGUCCAAAGUUUCACGGUCACAGGAUUGAUGAAUUCAGUAGUGUGUUGAUGUUGGGGCUCCAGGUGGUUCUCUAUAUGCACGGUUGGUAUCACAUGGCCACGUCCCAAGGUGGAUGUGGAUUGAUGGGUUGUGGGGGGAGGGGGUGCCUCCUGUAUCUCUUUCUGGGAGAGAAAUGAUGAAGAUGAUAGGGCUUUGGACCAGGGACCUUUCACAGAGUGGAGGUGGGUGGAUUCUGGGUAUAUUUUGAAGGACAAGCCAGUGGGGCUGGAUGUUGGGGAAAAUAAUUGAAUCGAGCAGGACUCCCGGGUUUCAUUCCAGGAGGUGGGGCAGGUGCCGUCUUGGCAGAGGUGAGGGGCAAGUCUCAGGGUCCUCACGGUUUCACCGCCUGACUAAGCUCCAGGCCUCUGCACGUUCAGAAGUGGAGGCACUUAGCAGGAUCUGAGGGUGGAGUUUUCGACCUUCUGAUGCCAAAAGGUCCCCGUUGGAGGGUCAGUGGUCUGUCCCAGUCUGAACCCUAACCGGACCCAGCCGAUCCAAGUUCCUGAAGAACAAAGUGCUUUCAUACCCACUUCUCCUUCUGACGCUCGCCUCCGGAUGUUGGUACGAUGGGAUUUGUUCUCAUUUUCCAGGAGAGGAAACUGGGAUGCAGAGAGGGGUUUUUUUGGUUUACCUUUGGUUUUUUCCUUGUUUAAAUAUUACCUGCAAACUUUAUGUUAUUUAACAUUUUCAAAUAUCUUCCUAUUAUUUUCAUAUCCCCAUACCAAAAAAAAAAAAACAAAACAGACAGUAAUUUGCGUUGUUCGCUUAUUUUUAGACAGUUUCACGUAAGUGUUUUGAAUCAUCUCUAAAAGCUUAUUUCCACAGCACAUAACAAAAUUAAUUAAAUUGCUUUUUGAAGCAAGGCUGCUUUAUUUCCCACUGAAACGAUGACUCAUGAGGUCCGACUGAGCCUCAUUUAUAUUCCUCCCCAGCAAGUAAUUUAAAAGCAAGUUAUAUAGAAAGGAAAAGAAAGAACAAGGAAAACAAACACACAAAGAAAACUUUCCCUUGCCUCCCUCUUUGACUUCUUCCUGGAUGUGGAGUGACAUGGGGGGAAGCUGCCAGGGUUCCUUCACUCCCAGGCAUUCCUGUGGAUGACAGUAUUGAUUAACCUGCAUCUCUGUGUCUGGGUUGUGUGAAUGGGUCCAGGGAAGGUAGAUUUUGGCCCAGGAAGAGGAAACCUUUUCUGAUCUGCCGAGGAGCCCAGUGGUGGGGGGGUGGGCCAGGGAGCUUCUUGAAACAUGGGUGUAAUCACGGCUGCUUGGUGGCGGCGGGUAAAGCGUGUUUUAGUUGGCAGUGCAUGGCCUUGGCAUAUUGAAGGAGUAGAAGGAGCCCAGCCAUUCGGACCCGUGGGAGACAGGGCAAGAUAAGGUUGUGUAGCAAAAGGUGCGGGGUGGAAACACUAACCUGAAAUAGUGCCAUUUGCAGCAACGUGGAUGGACCUCGAGAUUAGCAUCAUCCUAAGUGAGUCCGGCAAAGACACAUACCGUAUGAUAUGGCUUAUACCUGGACUUUUAAAAAUGAUACAAAUGAACCUAUUGACAAAGCAGAAACAGACUCACAGACUUUGGAAACAAACACGGUUACCAAAGGGGAAGGGAGGUGGCCGGCGGCGGGGAGGAUAGACUGGGCUUUGGGGAAUGGCAAAGUGGCAAACGCACACUUUUGUAGACAGAAUGGAUGGUCAGCAGGGACCUGCCGCAAAGCACAGGGAAAUCUGCUCAUAUAGGGAUGGAUCUGCUUCUGGGUUUGGCGCAACCACUUUGCUGUAGAGAAGAAACGAACACAGUGUAAAUCAACUGGACUUUAAUACAAUUAAAUUUAGAAAAGAAAAGCAAUCCCCUGAACAAGAAAAUGCUUGUUUUGAUGAUCAUUUUUUUUUAUUUUAUUUAGAAACUUUUCAGCACUUGGAAGCAUGGCACCUGGCACACAACAGACAUGUAACGAAUGUCUGCUGAAUGCCCGCCUACAGGGAUUAGGAAGGAGAGGAAUGACGGAAUGUUCUUUGAGUUAUGGGCCAAGUGGGCAUUUCACCUGCUACUGUUACUGGUGCCAGUGGGCAUUGGGAGACUGUCCAUUUUGGUUUUUCGAUCUGUUUGUUUUUCCAAAAAAUCCAGCAGAGCAGGUCUGCUGUGAUCCAGUGCCAUUUCUCUCGCAACUGUCCCACCACCCGCAAAGGACCCCCCCCCCGUCAACACACACAAUGACAUUUCAUGGCAACAGCUGAAACGCAACCAGUUCAUUUUCUUGCUUUUGGAUGCGACAUACUCUGUUCCUUGCUCCAGUGAAUUUGCAAGCAAUUUCCCUGAUAGAAAGGGAAGGAGGACCCACAGGGGGUGGUGGGGAGGCGGGGGCAGGCGAUUUUUAGGGAUGGGCACAAGUUGCUCAAUUUGUUUCCGAAAGCAAGAAGCAUGUGCAAACUCCUACUUAGAGGCUAUUUCUCCUUGAUUUUCAGAGAUGCACAGGUGGGUGGGUGGGUAGCACCCCGGGACUGAAGCUAGAUGGAGAUGAUUGGGGCCCACUCCCCCCACCCCAUUUUUAAGAGGCAUGUCACAUGGAAAAGCAAUAACGUUAAGGAAAGUGUAUCACACCUUUUGGGGGACACUUUUGACUAAUUCCCAUAAUCGCUCUGUGCCGUCAUGUCCUCAUGGGUGAGUAGAGACCAGGCAGAGGUGCCCUUAUUUGGAUAAUUAUUUCCAUUUGCUGAUUAAUGGUGCUCAUUUUGAAAUUGAUUGUGGAAAAUGUACCCACACGAAAUGAGAACCCACCCCUGUUACCAGCCCGGUCCACUUUGCGAAAUCACAGAUGUCACUCAGAGGCUACAUUCUGCAGAAAAUAACUGCAAUUUAAAAAUAGGAGCCUCUGAUAGACGCACCUUCGAGUCUGCAUCUCUUUCAUUACCCUUCCAGCCAGAGCACAAUUACCUCCUGAGCUGUUUGCUAACAACAGUAAUUAACUGCAGGCCUGGGGACGGACAGACACAUCCAAGUCAGAAUACUUUACCCGGCUGAACACUCAGAUGGUGAGAGCAGAAACCUUUCUUUUAUAAUUUGCACUGGUCACUGCUCCAGCAAACCCUACAAGGAACACAGCAUUUUCUGUAUGCAUGGAAAACAUUUCUUCCCAAGCUGCCACCUCGGGCCACGUCAGGCCACCUACCUGCCACCAAAUAUUAGGGACUCGCUGCAAAGGUUUCAGAAAGAUCUCAUCUUUCAAGAUCCAACUUUUUUUUUUUCUUACCAAGAACCUAAAAACAGUAAAUAAGAGAGUGAUUUAUAUUAUAAUAACUACCCCUCAUUAUUCCUUUAUCUUUUAUUAAUCUCCUUAUUAUGAAUUAGGGGAAUAUGCUAAAAGAGAAGAUAUGAUUGCUCUUUCUGCUUCCAGAAUAAAUAACAGUCAUUUUCCAGUGGGAUGCAUCCCCCUUUUCUACAGGGAAUGACUUAUUUGCUUCAGAACGGAACAAAAUGAGAAAUUAUGACAUCACUGAAUCCACUUCUAAAAUUAAUAUGAAGCGCUUGUCGUGAAAAUGUGGCUCUUCCCAACGGGGAACCAUGCGACUAACAGGCAGUGAAUCAGAGAUGCGAAAAUGUCAGGCUGUCAUUUACCUGAGCAGUUUGUUUUGGUUCUGAGCAGGGGAGCCUUGAGGGCCAUUGGCAAUUGGGAAAAGAAACACAAAGAUAAACAAGACCAAAAAAUCAAAACCCCCAAAGAGUUGCCACCCACAUUCUCAUGAGCUGGCCCUGUCAUCACUGAGACCUUUCCUAAUAGUCUUCCUUACUUUUUUUUUUUUUUUGAACAUCUUUUAGAGCAUCUCUUCUUACCAAAAUGUAAGGUCAUUAGGGGAGAGUUUUGUGAGCACAUAUAGGCUGACCGAAGUCCAUGCAUGCAUGUGUGUGUGUGUGUGUGUGUGUUCAGGGACUGAGGGGUGUCCUCUCACACCCACACCCACUACACCCAUCUGCAGCCCCCGGGCUGGGAAGCUCAUGGCCUUGAGGAGCCUGGAAAAUUCUAGUCUGUGCCCAAGUCGUCUGGUGGUGGUGGUGGGCACAGCGUGGCAGCGCUGGCGCCGCCCCAGGCCUGAGGCCACAUCAGGCAAACGAGAGCCCCAGCCAGAGUCAAGCCCUUCAAGGCAGGCCCACGCCCCAGGCCGGGCUGCGGAGCCGAGCUCUCCCAACCCCCUCCUUUGCCUUGACCCCCGUGCCGGAGGAGCGUCUGUUAAUGUCGAUCCGGCCAAAAUCGAGUCUUAGGCACGAAUCAUUGCGGUCCUUGGGACCUCGACUCAUUCGGUGACAUUUAUUCUAGAAAGAAGCUCAGAAGCCUGGGACAUCCUUCCUCACUGAUAAUAAAUUUUCCCUUUUGGGGAUGUAAACAUCAUUCGAGGCCCAGUUAAAAUGUCCCCCAUUUCUUGCAGUCAGGAAAGAACAUUCAUAACUCACCUUUGCCAUAUGUUCUCGUCCCAAAUGCUUGUCAUCUCCAUUAAAUCGCUCCUAACUGCUCUGAGUGUCGAAGCCUCGGCAGAGUUGGGCAGCUGGAUUUCGGAGCGUGUAUGUACAGCAUUAUCUGACCUGUAUGGAGCCGACCAAGAUGCUGGGUCCUAUGCUAGUGUGAGGGCACUUCUGAGACGUAUUAAUUGACUUCGGUUGAUCUUUGCUGCAGCUCAGGUCCUUGGCCAGCCACAGUUUCCUUGCCGAAACCUGGGACACAGCUAAAGCCUCUCCAAAUUAAACUGCUUGCUCCGUCUGCUGCCCUGAAACCAAACAGCAUGGAGCAUCUCACCAGUUCAGUUCUGUCAGUAAGAGAACCACGGCCUAGGUACCCCGCUGUGGCUGCACCUCCACUCUGGAGCCAUUCCAGAGAAGGGGGCCAGGGUCUGGGCCAGAAGCACAGCUGACCCAGCCCACCCCAUCCGCACGCCCUAGCUCCUCCCAGGACAGCCUCCCCCCAGACCCAGCCAGCUGGCUGGGCUGUAGGCGAGCAAGGCCGUUCCCUUCCAUCCUGCAAACCUCACUGGUGCCCGUGGUUCACCAGGCCUUGUACAUGGCAACGUCAGUAUUGAGCCAGUUAAGACCUGGCACCAUCCGAGUGUAGCAAGGGGCGGAGGACAGAGGCUAAGACAAGCAGGCCAGUACUACGUGAAAGCGCACUAAGGGAGGUGUGGACAGGCUGGGCCCAUGAGGAGCAAGUAGGUAACUCAGGCCAGAGGGCAAGGGCAGCAAAAGCAGGGGUUAGGGGUCAUCUGGGAGGCAGCGAUACCUAGGCUGAGCCUUUUGUAAAACUGAACAUAUAUGAGUGCCCUGGUGGCUCAGCAGGUUAAGGACCUUGUGUUGAUACUGUUGUGGUGGGGCUUUGGUCCUGGCCUGGGAAUUUCCACGUGCCUCAGGUGUGGCACACAAAGAAAGAGUAACAGGAGUGUUUAAAAAAUGAAGUAUCAUUUGUUUGUUAUUAUCAGAGACUAUGUAUUUGUUGUAGAAAACAACUACUACUUC
rnacentral:lncRNA from 1 species